CCUACGGGAGGCAGCAGUGAGGAAUAUUGGUCAAUGGACGAGAGUCUGAACCAGCCAAGUAGCGAGAAGGAUGACUGCCCUAUGGGUUGUAAACUUCUUUUAUAUGGGAAUAAAAUGUUCCACGUGUGGGAUUUUGUAUGUACCAUAUGAAUAAGGAUCGGCUAACUCCGUGCCAGCAGCCGCGGUAAUACGGAGGAUCCGAGCGUUAUCCGGAUUUAUUGGGUUUAAAGGGGGCGUAGGUGGAUUGUUAAGUCAGUUGUGAAAGUUUGCGGCUCAACCGUAAAAUUGCAGUUGAAACUGGCAGGCUUGAGUACAGUAGAGGUGGGCGGAAUUCGUGGUGUAGCGGUGAAAUGCUUAGAUAUCACGAAGAACUCCGAUUGCGAAGGCAGCUCACUGGACUGCAACUGACACUGAGGCUCGAAAGUGUGGGUAUCAAACAGGAUUAGAUACCCUAGUAGUC
rnacentral:rRNA from 1 species